rnacentral:antisense_RNA from 1 species
UCCUAACAUUACUCUUAAUGGUGGAGAGCUUGAAGAAGGAAGUCCUCCUACGGUGGAUUUAAUUCCAGAACGCGGCUUAUUUCCUAAAUCAAAUGUCACUCUUUUUGGACUGACGCCCUGAUUACCUUCUUGAGACUGUGAAUUUUGUCCGGUUUUCUUAAGGCAUGAACGAGCUGGCGGGGGUGGUAGGGUAAAACCUUUUUUUUUAGAUGGUUUCUUUUUGCACUUCCCCCUGCAACAUCCAAAACAUCUCAUCAAUUUUCGGAUGGAGGGUCUUCUUAAAUUCAGAAAGGAGUGGUCAAGAACUACUCGAUUGGUUGUUUCUUGCUCAUUAUGCUCGUAAUUGAACAAGAAGAGUAUUAGAACUAAUGUUGUUAGGAGUGACCUGAACUUUUUUAUUGACAUGUUUUCACUAUAUUGCGGAGAAAUUGCAGUACUUUCUUAAAAUAAUUAUAAUCAUGAAUUCUAUAUUGUUUUUGCCAAUAUUGUUUUACUUUUCUUUAAAUGAUCACCGAGUAAAUAGAAGUUUGUGGGCGUAUAUGCGGCUUUCAUACGUAUUUCCUGUUAAUGUCUUGAAUGAGUAAUGAAAGGAGUCUUAUAUUUAGAUGGAAAUUAAUCCACGUGAUUAAAUUAUUAGAAUUAACUUUCUAUUUAUUUUUAAUUUAUCGAAGUAAACGUUUCAUUUAAAUCCUAUGUAAAAUUGUUUACCAAACCAAACCAUAAUUUCUUAGUGAAAAUGUUCAAAUUCUUAUAAGCAAGCAAAAUAAAACAUUAAUAAAUUU